AUGAAACAAGUCUGCGGCAGUUAAAACUGGAAUUGGCACAAUAUCGCGAAGUGGCCGCCUUUUCUCAAUUUGGCUCAGACCUUGAUGCUGCGACUCGGGCAUUACUCAAUAGAGGUGCAAGGCUUACAGAAGUACUGAAACAACCACAAUAUGCACCACUUCCAAUUGAAAAACAAAUUCUAGUAAUUUAUGCAGCUGUCAAUGGAUUCUGUGAUCGAAUGCCAUUAGACAAAAUAGCUCAAUAUGAAAGAGACAUUCUAAGCACUAUAAAACAAGAAUUACUACAAUUACUAAAAGGUGGACUAACUGGCGAAAGAAAGAUAGAACCGGAUGCAUUCUUAAAAGAAAAAGCUUUGUCCUUAAUUUAA
rnacentral:lncRNA from 1 species